GUAUGGCCUGCCCAAGUCUUAGAGAAAUAUAAAAGUAUACAUAAACUUGCCACAACAUAUACUUGCAGACCUGAAAACCUUUUACACCUGUCUUUUGAGUCUCAGGAAUCAAGGCAAAACUGACUAGCUUUGUUUUGUACAUUGUACUGUCAUUAUGAUAAUGAACUUAAAGCUGUACCCCAGGACACCUAAACAUUUUCCCUUGCAGUGGGGCUAUACCCGCACUGCAAGGGUUAACUGCUCACUUCUGUCUAACGUGUUUGGAAAAGCAGAAUUACUUACCAAAUUCUCUGCUCCUGCAGGCUCCUCCUCACUGAUAGACCAGUCCUUGCAGCCUUUUCCCCCCCAGCGCUCCAGUGGUCUAAGGUCUUCUGAAGUCACUAAGACUGAUGCAAGGUACAUAACCCUGCGUUAGAUGUGAGAACGCUGAGGGACAGUCCACUGAUGUGGAGUGCCGUCUGCUGGGGGAGCAGAGGAUCAGAUUUUCUCUCACUCCCUGGAAGGUGAAACUACUGUUGGCAGAAGUGGGGUUAAAUCUCCCAUCUCCGGAGAACAUUAAAAACCCAACAAGAAUUUGAAUCCUUCCCCACUCUAUCCCAAACUACAAAAAAAAAAAAACAAUUGGCUUGACAUACACAGUAAAACCAGUUACUUUUUUUAAUUCUGACUCUAAUAGCCUGUACACACGAUUCGAAAAUUGGACAACAGAUCGUCCGGAUUUUUUUUGUAUGCUAGGCACAUAUCGAAAAUGAAGAAGUUAUGAAAAAUCUCGUACGACAGAAUAAAAAAACGGAAGUGAUGUAAUGUGUUGUAGUGUAUUUCUAUUGUAUUUUCGGACGACAACUGUACCGAAUAAACAAAAUUCAUACAA